UACGUAGGGGGCAAGCGUUAUCCGGAUUUACUGGGUGUAAAGGGAGCGUAGACGACGAUGCAAGUCUGAAGUGAAAGCCCGGGGCUCAACCCCGGGACUGCUUUGGAAACUGUAUGGCUGGAGUGCUGGAGAGGCAAGCGGAAUUCCUAGUGUAGCGGUGAAAUGCGUAGAUAUUAGGAAGAACACCAGUGGCGAAGGCGGCUUGCUGGACAGUAACUGACGUUGAGGCUCGAAAGCGUGGGGAGCAAACAGG
rnacentral:rRNA from 1 species